CAAUAGCGUAUAUUAAAGUUGUUGCAGUUAAAAAGCUCGUAGUUGGAUUUCUGGUUGAAGCGACCGGUCGGGCGUUGAUUCGUCUGCACUGGAGUCGGUUUUGGCCAUCCUCUAGGAAAGUGCGUCUGGUAUUAAGUUAUCGGGCGUAUGAUCCUGGUCUUUUACUGUGAAAAAAUUAGAGUGUUUAAAGCAGGCCUUCGCCUUGAAUACAUUAGCAUGGAAUAAUAAGAUAGGACUUUGGUCUAUUUUGUUGGUUUUCAGACCGAAGUAAUGAUUAAUAGGGAUAGUUGGGGGUAUUUAUAUUCCGAUGUCAGAGGUGAAAUUCUUAGAUUUUCGGAAGAUAAACUUAUGCGAAAGCAUUUACCAAGGAUGUUUUCAUUAA
rnacentral:rRNA from 1 species